AGGCGGUGAAGAUGAAAAUUAUACCAUCAAACUAUGAGAGCUCUUGGCUCGUUGAUGUAAUUUAUAAUAUCAGAGCCU
rfam:Corchorus olitorius cultivar O-4 contig11913, whole genome shotgun sequence.